UACGUAGGGGGCGAGCGUUGUCCGGAUUUAUUGGGCGUAAAGAGCGUGUAGGCGGCUAGGUAGGUCCGUUGUGAAAACUCGAGGCUCAACCUCGAGACGUCGAUGGAAACCAUCUAGCUAGAGUCCGGAAGAGGAGAGUGGAAUUCCUGGUGUAGCGGUGAAAUGCGCAGAUAUCAGGAGGAACACCGAUGGCGAAGGCAGGUCUCUGGGCCAUAACUGACGCUGAGAAGCGAAAGCAUGGGGAGCGAACAGG
rnacentral:rRNA from 1 species